CCUACGGGUGGCAGCAGUGAGGAAUAUUGGUCAAUGGGCGGAAGCCUGAACCAGCCAAGUAGCGUGCAGGAUGACGGCCCUACGGGUUGUAAACUGCUUAUAUACGGGAAUAACGCGCCUUACGUGUAGGGCUUUGCAUGUACCGUAUGAAUAAGGACCGGCUAAUUCCGUACCAGAAGCCGCGGUAAUACGGAAGGUCCGGGCGUUAUCCGGAUUUUUUGGGUUUAAGGGGUGCGCAGGCGGUCUGUUAAGUCAGCGUUAACAGCCCGGGGCUCACCCCCGGCCCGCCGUUGAAACUGGCAGUCUCGAGUUGGAGAGAAGUAUGCGGAAUGCGCGGUGUAGCGGUGAAAUGCAUAGAUAUCGCGCAGAACUCCGAUUGCGAAGGCAGCAUGCCGGCUCCACACUGACGCUGAGGCACGAAAGCGUGGGUAUCGAACAGGAUUAGAUACCCGUGUAGUC
rnacentral:rRNA from 1 species